GUCGAACGCGCGGAUCAGGAGCUUGCUCCUGUGACGCGAGUGGCGGACGGGUGAGUAACGCGUAGGCAACCUGCCCAUCAGACCGGGAUAACCACGGGAAACCGUGACUAAUACCGGAUAAUCCUUUCCCUCAUAGGAGGGGGAGUUGAAAGGCGGUCUUUUGGCUGCCACUGAUGGAUGGGCCUGCGGCGCAUUAGCUAGUUGGUGGGGUAAGGGCCCACCAGGGCGACGAUGCGUAGCCGACCUGAGAGGGUGAUCGGCCACACUGGGACUGAGACACGGCCCAGACUCCUACGGGAGGCAGCAGUAGGGAAUCUUCCGCAAUGGACGAAAGUCUGACGGAGCAACGCCGCGUGAGUGAAGAAGGGUUUCGGCUCGUAAAACUCUGUUGUCAGGGAAGAACGUCCCCGUGAGUAACUGCACGGGGAGUGACGGUACCUGACCAGAAAGCCACGGCUAACUACGUGCCAACAGCCGCGGUAAUACGUAGGUGGCAAGCGUUAUCCGGAAUUAUUGGGCGUAAAGCGCGCGUAUGCGGUCUGUUAAGUCUGAUGUGAAAGCCCCCGGCUCAACCGGGGAGGGUCAUUGGAAACUGGCAGACUUGAG
rnacentral:rRNA from 1 species